rnacentral:rRNA from 1 species
AACGAACGCUGGCGGCGUGGAUAAGACAUGCAAGUCGAACGGGAUUUUGUUCUGUAGCAAUACAGGAAAAAGUCUAGUGGCGAACGGGUGCGUAACACGUGAGCAACCUGCCGUGAAGUGGGGGAUAGCUCGCCGAAAGGCGAAUUAAUACCGCAUGUGGCCAAGGAAGACAUCUUCCUGACGCCAAAGCCGGGGCAACCUGGCGCUUCGCGAGGGGCUCGCGGCCUACCAGCUUGUUGGUGAGGUAACGGCUCACCAAGGCUAUGACGGGUAGCUGGUCUGAGAGGACGACCAGCCACACUGGAACUGAGACACGGUCCAGACACCUACGGGUGGCAGCAGUCGAGAAUUUUUCACAAUGGGGGAAACCCUGAUGGAGCGACGCCGCGUGGAGGAUGAAGGUUUUCGGAUUGUAAACUCCUGUCAUUAGAGAACAAGGCACACGGUUUAACUGGCCGUGUGUUGAUAGUAUCUGAAGAGGAAGAGACGGCUAACUCUGUGCCAGCCGCCGCCGUAA